AGAGACCUCAGCAGCUUGCUGUGACACAGAAAAGCCUUUUCUCCAGGGCCCUGGGGGCCGUGUGUUGCCUGGCACUCCUCUGACUCUGUGCUGGACAAGAUGCUCCUGAACCUUCUUGCUGUGCCUGUGAGCAAAGAGACGGCAGGGUUUCACUCCACGACCCCUCUGUGUUUCUGCCAUCAGACUGGCAGGCUUCGGACCUGCAGCUUCUCCGUUGGCUCUCCCUACAGUCGUUUACAACGUGCUUGGAAGGAAAGAUGAGACACACGGACUUACAGCUCGGUUUCCCUUCUCUUCCCAAAAUGAAAAAUAAAUUGAUGUGCUGACAAAUGAUUGCCAGCGGGACUCUGCUAGCUUCUUGGAUGGAUGCCUGCAGUCACUUGUCCACACAGCUCAGCCAGGGCCCCAUGAUGGGACAGGACAGGGCAUGGACUCCAGUGACCGUUUGGAAAUCAACUGCUUGGAACUACAGAGUUGGUACAACCAUCAGAAAGCUACUUCACCCUGGUUUGGUUGUGGUACCUGAAGCCUGAGUCUGUCUCCAAGGCUCUCAGCGUUGGGCUGGAGCCCUGGGGCUUUGCUGGAAUGGGACUGGGAGGGAGAAGUAGUUGAGAGAUGACCCAGAGCAGCGGCCAGGUUGCAGGGUGGGGCUGCUGUUGGGGAGGGGACGGGAAAUUCACCUCCGACAGGGAACAAAAGGUUGUGAUUCAGGAAGUCCCCCGUGACCAGGGAGGGACAGGCAGCACUUUUGUUGGCUGGCUACAGAUGGCUGGUGGCACCUGGUGACUCCCUUCCAAAAAGCUGGGUCCGUGGGAUGUGCCAGGGUCAGUUCCAACCUACCCCACAGAAGAAGCACAGAGACCUGGUGGGGUUACCCACCUCCCAGAGUUAAGGGACAGCCUCUGAUUUUGAUGGGGAAAGCCAGGAGUGUGGUGGGACAGGGAUUGCAGUCUCUGGCCUUGAGGUGGGCCUCGCCUUCUAGUGGGGACCCUUGGGUGGGGUGUUAUCUUCUGGUGGAAUCGUAAAGGGCAUGCCUGAAAAGGCCAGCUCCACCCACUCCCGUUCCUCUGGGUUGAGGAGCAAUGCCUGCCCUUUGGUUGCUGGCUAAGGGGUACAUCCUUGCUGGGACUAUCCUGGAAGCCCUGGGUCUCCUUCCACCACGUAGGAAGCUUCCAUUUCCAAUUCAGAGGGUGGGGAGCUUGAUCGGCUCUCCAGGUGAGAGGGAGCCUCUUCCUUUGGCUCGACCUAUUCAGUGCCAGCACUUUCUGCUCCAGGGGUCUCCCCCUCCCAGAGCAAUUCCUGAACUGUAAGAAAAAGCAGAGCCAGUCCAGAACUCUGCUGGGGAGCUGACUAUGUGGCCUCCUCAUGAAGAGAAGCGUCCAGCGCACUGGUGACCGUGACUGAAUCUACUUCUAUUUUUCUGAUCUUGGACCAAACUUCUAGUCUAGAUUUUGAGAUGAAGGGGAACACAAAUGUGGUAUUCUGAGGCCAUUGCCUCCUUCCCAGGGUGACAUCAGGGCUGGUCCACCUUAUCUGGGCCACGGGCCUGAUCAGGGUGGUGUAGGUGGGAUGAUUCUAGAUUUCAGCUCCAAACCAGAAACUGAGAAGAAAGAACACAGAAUAUUUGUUUCUAUUUGUAAAAAGUAACAAAACAAAACAAAAGGAAACAAAAAACCUCACAUCAUGCCCGCACACAUACACAUGCACAGUGUUAUUAUUUUCUACUUGAUUUAUGCAGCAAUUGCUAGAAGACACAUGGUACUGCUUGGUUCCAGUGAAUUUUCCACACAACUGCUGUUGCAA